AAUGCUUUUAGCUCUAUGUAUUUCAGCGGAGGUUGUUUAUUAAACGAGAUAUUGUUCACAUGUAAUCAUUUUUUUGUUACUUUCAUAUGUGAUAUUUUGAUUUCUUUUUUCCUUUUAGGUACAUUCUUUAUUUUUCUUCUUUUUUGAGUACAUUCUUUACUCUGAUAUGCUGUGCAUUUAUAUUUAAUCUAUUCUGAGUGCUAAUAUCUAGUGGAAUACAUAGUCUUUAUUAAAUUAUAAAUGUUUGUCAUAAAAUAACA
rnacentral:lncRNA from 1 species